UCACAGCAGCUGCAUAAAAUUGCACACUAAAGGGAGGAAUAACCUGAAGGAGCUGUGGACCACUGUGUUAGGAUGUGCAGAGAAUAAGACUCUCCUCCUGGUGGCGCUAAGGAUGGCCAAACAAACCUUCAUGAAGCUUUGAACCCUUGUACAGCCUUGGAAAGGAGUUUGUUUACAUUUUCUCCACAGAGGGUUUAGAGGAUUUCUCUCUUUUGAGACAACCUCUCUAGAUUUGAAGAAGACCUUCUCACAGCACAGAAGAUGCCGGUGUCGCCAGGAACUGUUUGGCCAUGUUGAACAAGUUUGGGUAAAGGGUUUUGUGCAUUAUUGACCUAAUGUGAUCUGUCCAGAAGAGGAACAGACAGAUAUCUGCAGUCGCUUUCUUUGAUUUUCUGACAUCUUCUGCAUCUUUGUCAAGAAGCUUCCACAGAGCCUGACCUCCUUCCCUUCUGUGACUUCCUGCCACUGUGAUUGUCUGCCCUGUCCCUGAUUGUAUUCACCUGUUACCACUUCCACCUUGCUAAAAUAGUUCUGGUCUUCUCCUGUCAUGUUGCCAGUUCGUCUUGUUCAUGAGCUACAUCGUCAAGUUUUUUCAUAGUCUAGUCAUUCAUGCUUCCAUGGUUCAGUUUAUGCUAACUGAGAAAUCGCUUUUCAGUGAGUGUUUUUUGUUCAUAUUUUUGAGAGCGUUUUUUUUGAUACUCUUAUUACAUAAACUUUUUGUUAAACCUUAUAUUGUCUGGAGUCGUGCAUUUGAGUCCACCAGUCUU